rnacentral:lncRNA from 1 species
GUUGACGUAUUUUCAGGGUGGUGUGGUAAAGAAAUUAAUGUUUUAUAUAUUUAAUUAAAGGAUAAAUAAGUAUUUUUAGUUUUAAAAUAACUUAAUAUUUUAGAAUAGCGAGAAAUAUAGAAAAAACAAAUUUGUAUUUAAUCUGAUUUUUUUUGAAAAAAAUAGAAUCUUUGAGAUAAUCAAAAUUAUGUUUAAUUUUUCUAAGAAAAAAAAGUAAAGAAUAGUAAAAAAAAAUUAAGUACAACAUAGAUAUAUUGGUGAAAGUGGAGUAAAUACAUUGAGGUGAAGUUUAUAUUUUUUAGGAAAAACUUCAAAAACCCCCCCUGUGGUUUCGUGCAUUCUCACUUUGCUACUCUGUGGUUUAAAACGUAUCAAUUUAUCCCCCUGUGGUUUCAUUUUUAUCUUUUCGGAAGCUUUUUCGUUAAUAUUUCAUUAAAUUAUAUACAAAAAACUUCAGAUAACCAUCUAUAUUUAUCGAAUAGUCACUUUAGUAUCCUUUAAUUUUAACUUUGUCACUGAUUUUAAAAAAAAAUAAUAAUAAAAUUGAUAACAAAAAGAUAAAAACGAAACCACAGGGGGGCAAAUUGAUACGUUUUAAACCACAGGGUAGCAAAGUGAGAAUGCACGAAACCACAGGGGGGGUUUUUGAAGUUUUUCCUAUUUUUUAACUACUUAUAUUUUUUUUAUAUAAGUUGUAUAUUAUGUUUGUCAUUAAUAUUUUGAUUAUAAUUGUUUAUGAAAUAUAGUAGAUUUUAGCUUUUGUUGAAUAAACUGAACAGUAAAUUUUACUUUUACAAAAAAUUAUAAAAAUAAAUAUAUAUUAAAAUGAACUGCCGACGCACAAAGAUGUCACUAGCUAGUAAUAAUAAUACAGAUUAUCUAUUAUGCCGACGCUAUAAAGCGUCGCCAAUAAGAAAAGGUUUUAUAUUUUAUUACUUUUCCGACGCUUUGGAGCGUCACCAAAAUUAAAAGUAGGCUAAGAGAAUAUAAUUUGCCGAC